rnacentral:lncRNA from 1 species
UCUAGAAUUUAGGUUUAGGGUAUAUGGUUUGGGUUUAGGGUUUAUGGUUUGGGUUUAAGGUAUAUAGUUUGGGUUUAUGGUAUACAAUUUGGGUUUAGGGUCUAGGAUUUGGGUUUAGGGUAUAGGGUUUGGGUUUAUGAUUUAAAAUUUAGGAUUUAGAAUUUAAGAUUUAGGGUUUACGGUUUAGCUAGCAGCGUUAUCGUCGUUAAGAUUGAUGUUUUUCUUUUUUUUUAAUUAUUUUUAAAUAAAUUUAAUAUUUUUUAAUUAA